rnacentral:rRNA from 1 species
AUUGAACGCUGGCGGAAUGCUUUACACAUGCAAGUCGAACGGCAGCACGGGAGCAAUCCUGGUGGCGAGUGGCGAACGGGUGAGUAAUAUAUCGGAACGUGCCCAGUCGUGGGGGAUAACGUAGCGAAAGCUACGCUAAUACCGCAUACGAUCUAUGGAUGAAAGCGGGGGGAUCGCAAGACCUCGCGCGAUUGGAGCGGCCGAUAUCAGAUUAGGUAGUUGGUGAGGUAAAGGCUCACCAAGCCGACGAUCUGUAGCUGGUCUGAGAGGACGACCAGCCACACUGGGACUGAGACACGGCCCAGACUCCUACGGGAGGCAGCAGUGGGGAAUUUUGGACAAUGGGCGCAAGCCUGAUCCAGCAAUGCCGCGUGCAGGAUGAAGGCCUUCGGGUUGUAAACUGCUUUUGUACGGAACGAAACGGUGAGCUCUAAUACAGUUUGCUAAUGACGGUACCGUAAGAAUAAGCACCGGCUAACUACGUG